rnacentral:rRNA from 1 species
GAUGAACGCUGGCGGCGUGCUUAACACAUGCAAGUCGAACGAUGAAGCCCAGCUUGCUGGGUGGAUUAGUGGCGAACGGGUGAGUAACACGUGAGUAACCUGCCCUUAACUCUGGGAUAAGCCUGGGAAACUGGGUCUAAUACCGGAUAGGAGCGUCCACCGCAUGGUGGGUGUUGGAAAGAUUUAUCGGUUUUGGAUGGACUCGCGGCCUAUCAGCUUGUUGGUGAGGUAAUGGCUCACCAAGGCGACGACGGGUAGCCGGCCUGAGAGGGUGACCGGCCAAACUGGGACUGAGACACGGCCCAGACUCCUACGGGAGGCAGCAGUGGGGAAUAUUGCACAAUGGGCGCAAGCCUGAUGCAGCGACGCCGCGUGAGGGAUGACGGCCUUCGGGUUGUAAACCUCUUUCAGUAGGGAAGAAGCGAAAGUGACGGUACCUGCAGAAGAAGCACCGGCUAACUACGUG